rnacentral:rRNA from 1 species
ACUUCCUUCAGCAGUAGGGAAUAUUGCACAAUGGGGGAAACCCUGAUGCAGCAACGCCACGUGUGGGAAGAAGCAUUUCGGUGUGUAAACCACUGUCGUGAGGGACUCAUGCUAUUUCUCGGACUAGUUGAAUGUACCUCGAAAGGAAGCACCGGCAAACUUCGUGCCAGCAGCCGCGGUAAUACGAGGGGUGCAAGCGUUGUUCGGAAUCACUGGGCGUAAAGGGAGCGUAGGCGGAGAUGCAAGCAGUCUGUACAAUACCGGGGCCCAACCCCGGACCUGCAGACUGGACUGUGUCUCUUGGAUAGUUCAGGGGCUGGCGGAAUUCCUGGUGUAGCGGUGGAAUGCGUAGAGAUCAGGAAGAACACCGAUGGCGAAGGCAGCCAGCUGGGGACUCAUCGACGCUGAGGCUCGAAAGUGCGGGUAGCAAACAGGAUUAGAUACCCUGGUA